UUCCUAUUACGGAACCCAGUUGCGGAACCGCACUCACGAUCCUCGUAUUGACACGGUAACGUUAAAGACCCCAGAGACGCCGUCUGGAGCCCCGGGAAGAGUUUUCUUUUCUGCAUAAGCGUUCGGGUUCCAUGGAAUCCUCUCGCAGGGAGAUAUGGAAUGGAGCGCGAAGAGCACCGCAGUUGCUGCGGUGUCCGGGGAUUCCCGUCGGCCCUUGAAAAUCUGGGUGAGGGUCACGUGGAGGCGUCGCACUGGCUCGUACCCAUAUCCGCAGCAGGUCUCCAAGGUCAAGAGCCUCUAGUCGAUAGACUA
rnacentral:rRNA from 1 species